rnacentral:rRNA from 1 species
CACGUAGGGUGCGAGCGUUGUCCGGAAUUAUUGGGCGUAAAGAGCUCGUAGGCGGCCUUGCGUGUCUUUCGUGAAAUCCCUCGGCUUAACUGAGGACGUGCGGAAGAAACUGCAGGGCUCGAGUCCGGGAGAGGGGGGUGGAAUUCCCAGUGUAGCGGUGAAAUGCGUAGAUAUUGGGAGGAACACCGGUGGCGAAGGCGGCCCCCUGGACCGGUACUGACGCUGAGGCGCGAAAGCGUGGGGAGCAAACGGG